rnacentral:rRNA from 1 species
GAUGAACGCUGGCGGCGUGCCUAAUACAUGCAAGUCGAACGCAUUGUGGUUGAAAUGAUAUGAAGAACUUGUUCAGAUUUGAUUUUCAACAUUGCAAUGAGUGGCGAACGGGUGAGUAACACGUGGGAAACCUACCUCUUAGCAGGGGAUAACAUUUGGAAACAAAUGCUAAUACCGUAUAAUAAUUAAAACCGCAUGGUUUUAGUUUAAAAGAUGGUCUUGCUAUCACUAAGAGAUGGUCCCGCGGUGUAUUAGUUAGUUGGUGAGGUAAUGGCUCACCAAGACAAUGAUACAUAGCCGAGUUGAGAGACUGACCGGCCACAAUGGUACUGAGACACGGCCCAUACUCCUACGGGAGGCAGCAGUAGGGAAUCUUCCACAAUGGACGAAGGUCCGAUGGAGCAACGCCGCGUGUGUGAUGAAGGUUUCGGCUCGGUAAAACACUGUUGUAAGAGAAGAAUGACAUUGAGAGUAACUGUUCAAUGUGUGACGGUAUCUUAACC